AUAUUAGUCAAUGCUCGCAAGAGUGAACGAGCUAACUGAAAGAAUAUACAAUCUAAAGUUAGGAAUCUUAUAAUAAAAAUUAUAAGAUUAAAGACGAAUCUAACUAACAGUGUCGUCCAAAUUCUGGUGCCAGAAGACUCGGUAAUACCAGAGACGCGAACGUUAAUCAUCUUGAAUGGGCAUAAAGGGUUUGUAGGCGGCUUAUUUAUUAAUAGGCUAGAAUCUUAGAGAGGUUAAUAAAAUACUUAGAGGAGGGCUGAUAUCCAUAGAUCCUAAGUGGAAUCCUAAUUGCGAAGGCCAUUUUCCACUACAGAUUGACGCUGAGAAACGAAGGUUAGGAUAGGAACUAGGAUUAGAGACCCUAUUACCCCUAACUGUAAACGAUGAAUGGAAGAUAUUUACAAUUGUAAGUGUCGAAGUGAAUACGAUAACCAUUCCGCCUUGCCAGUAUACUUGCAAAAGUGAAAACAAAAAAAUUAGUCGGUCCUAAAGCAAACGAAGUGAAGCAUGUUAUUUA
rnacentral:rRNA from 1 species